rnacentral:rRNA from 1 species
CAUGACUAGCUAACUGAAAUCAUCCCACAUCUGAAAUAUUGUUCAAGGGUGAUAACGUGAGGAAAGAAAUAAUGAUGCCUCCUCGCUAUUAGUGUUGUCCAAAGUCUGGUGCCAGAAGACUCGGUAAGGCCAGGUACACRAACGUUAAUCACAUUAAUCAGGCGUAAAGGGUUUGUAGGCAGUUUCAAAUACAUUAUUCUGUAUAUAGCAAAAAAAAAUAAAUUCGAAAAUAACAUCUCUUUAGUUUUUUUGUUUUUAUUAAAAAUAAAUAAAAUUACUACUUUUAAAAGUCUUUGAAUUCCUGAGUUUGUAACUAAACAAAGCUCCUGUUAAAAGUAGAAGAGUACUCUUAUUAUCAUUAUUAUGAUAAUAAUAAAGUAGUAACUAAAAAAAAAAAAAGAUGAUAAGCAUCGAAUUAAAUAUAAUUAUCACUAGUUUUAAUAAAAAAAUAAUUUAAGAAGACUAGUGUGUUACAACGAUGCCGAGAACCGGCUUAGCUAUUUAAGUAGUAAAGUAAUAUCUUUGAUAUUAUAUAUUAUAUUUAUAGUCAGGGAGAGUCAGGUACUCAAUCAUAAUCUGAAGUUGCCAGAUAAAGAAUUUUAAGACAGAGUAGUGGUGUAUUGAAACUAGAAUCUUAAUGAGGAAAAACCAUAUAAUUAUUAGAGUAGGGGUACAAUCUGCAAAUACUAAUGAGAAUACUAAAGGUGAAAGCUUUUUUUCCAGUAAUGAUUGACGCUGAUAAACGAAGGUGGGAAAAGAAAAAAGGAUUAGAGACCCAAGUAUCUCCCACAGUCAACGAUGAAUGGAAGUUGUUAGUUUAAUGAUAAACUAGUGGCGAAGUUAACGCUAUAACCAUUCCGCCUUGUGAGUACGCUUGCAAAACUGAAAACAAAAAAAUUAGUCGGUCUCGAAGCAAACGAAGGAG